UACGGAGGGUGCAAGCGUUAAUCGGAAUUACUGGGCGUAAAGCGCACGCAGGCGGUCUGUCAAGUCGGAUGUGAAAUCCCCGGGCUCAACCUGGGAACUGCAUCCGAAACUGGCAGGCUAGAGUCUUGUAGAGGGGGGUAGAAUUCCAGGUGUAGCGGUGAAAUGCGUAGAGAUCUGGAGGAAUACCGGUGGCGAAGGCGGCCCCCUGGACAAAGACUGACGCUCAGGUGCGAAAGCGUGGGGAGCAAGCAGGAUUAGAUACCCUGGUAGUCCACGCCGUAAACGAUGUCGACUUGGAGGUGGUGGCCUUGAGGCGUAGGUUCCGGAGCUAACGCGUUAAGUCGACCGCCUGGGGAGUACGGCCGCAAGGUUAAA
rnacentral:rRNA from 1 species